GUCCACGCCGUAAACGAUGAAUACUAGGUGUGGGGUUGUCAUGACCUCCGUGCCGCCGCUAACGCAUUAAGUAUUCCGCCUGGGGAGUACGGUCGCAAGAUUAAAACUCAAAGGAAUUGACGGGGCCCGCACAAGCAGCGGAGCAUGUGGUUUAAUUCGAAGCAACGCGAAGAACCUUACCUAGACUUGACAUCUCCUGAAUUACUCGUAAUAGAGGAAGUCACUUCGGUGACAGGAAGACAGGUGGUGCAUGGUUGUCGU
rnacentral:rRNA from 1 species